rnacentral:piRNA from 1 species
UUCAGCUUUGGGUGCUGACGGUGGGGG